rnacentral:rRNA from 1 species
UAAGAGGUCCAGCCUGCCCAGUGACUAUUGUUCAACGGCCGCGGUAUCCUAACCGUGCGAAGGUAGCGUAAUCACUUGUUCUUUAAAUGAGGACUAGUAUGAAUGGCAUCACGAGGGUUAUACUGUCUCCUCUCUCUAAUCAGUGAAACUAAUCUCCCCGUGAAGAAGCGGGGAUAAAAUUAUAAGACGAGAAGACCCUAUGGAGCUUUAAGUAAAUCUUCAAACGCUUGUACACCCUAACAGUCAUAGACCAUUAAAAUUAACUUUAGCGCCAUGAAGAUGAACUUUAGGUUGGGGUGACCACGGAGUACAAAAAAACCUCUACGCUGAACAGGUCUCAAAGCCUUGAGUAAAGGACCACAACCCGACACACUAAUAAACUAACACCCAUUGACCCA